rnacentral:lncRNA from 1 species
CCAGGCUCCCGCCGGCUAAACUCAGCCUAAGUGCGAGGAGCACCCGCUUUGAAGUGCCGCUGGCUGCGCCUCUCGCCCAAUGAGGGCGCAGGCAGAGCAGACCGGAGCUGCCCCGCAGCCAAUCAGACGCUCCGAGGGGCCCGAGCCCGGGCUCCCGGCGCGUGCCAGUCAAGUCAGCUAGCUAGGGCCGCGGGGGUGGGGGGGAGUAGUGGGGGAUACUUGCGGGGGGGGGGCGAGGGCGGGCUGGGGACUGAAGAAAUUACAGUGCAAUUAAAAAUUUACACUCACGCACCAAGCCAGGUUUAAGUACCAAUGAAACCGAGCCACAAGCACCCCCCCACACACAAACCACCCCGAGAUGUUGCAAGUUAGGGCUGACAGUCCUACUCGACUCCCCACUUGUAGGAAAGGAGGCAGGAGGGGAGGAGACACCCAGACACAGCCCGCACCAGCAGGGCCCAAGUGGAGACGGAAAUGUGAGCCCUCACUUUGUGUGUCCAGGCUUUUGCCUACAGAACACAACUUCAGCUUGUAUCUAUCAUUCUUGCUUGUGAUUUUUAUCAUUUUCGUGUGUCUUCUACCCAAUUCCUUAUUCCACUAGAUUCAAUUUCACUCUCACAGUUAUACUGGGGAGGGGGCGCGAAGGGACAGCUCCUCCGAGAGGAGCGAAAUAGGCCUCUCUGUACAGAUCUACAUCCACAGAUUUGUUGGGAGGGCCUGGAGCCUGCUGCAUCCCGCCAUUUCCCCCCAGCGGUGUAAGUGACUUCCUAAUUGUCGCUCUGGCCUCUGACCCGGGGGGUAAUACAAGUGCCACUCACGCUAGAGGCUUCUGGUGGUAAUUGAGGGCACCCUUUGUACGGUUUCGCCAGCGCUUAGAUACCAGGUUAACCCAGUUGUCAAAUAUGACUAAACAGUGGGAUGUGCUGAUUAUCUGCCGGGUUUUGCUGUGGGCUGGCAUGGGGGUGGGAGGCAUCAGCCCAUACAACACGCUGCACGAAGCCGCUUAUUUUCUCACUGUAACAACUUUGGAAACAGAGACCGGCGCGAGCGGCGUCCGCCCCCACCUCCACCUCCGCUGAAGCUGCAGCUUGCUCGGCUGUUUGUUUAACCCGGUGAAGAUUUGCAUGUCGCGUUUCAUCCUGGAGUGGAGUUUUCUUGUCCCAGCUCCAACCCACUCCCAUUCCAGACCACCAGGGCCUAGAGGCUCGUCCGUAGGGCAAGUGCGCUGUUUUAAGAGGCUGGAAGCAUCCUGAAGUCCUCCCUGGACCUUGUCAGUGUGAAAAGAGGCGUCCUCAAGCAGACCAGGGUGGCGAAAGCACCAAGGAAAUUAUGACAGAGAAAGAGAAGGAACAGAGGAGAAGAGAAAGAGAAGGAACAGAGGAGAAGAGAACGAGAAGGCUCGUGUGGCUGUCAAUGAAGUGCUGUGCCCUGGGAGACUGUAGUGGAAAUGGGGGUGGGGAGGUGUGAAAAGUCCCUGAGGGACGCUGGGUGGAGGGCUGAGGAGAAAUCAGGCCGCCUAGAAGAGCCGGAAAGCCCAGCAGGGGGACCCGGGGGCCGUUCCCAACAGGUGACUUCUGCCCUGGAAGAAGACACUGGUUCUCGGCUUCCCAUAGAGUCUCCGCGUAGAUUUACUAAUAGAGGGAUUGUUAAGUGGCAGCGAGGCGUUUCCUACUCACCCUGUGCAGCCGAGGAGGAGAAACGCAGAGGUUUCCCCAGUCCACCUCCUCCCCCACCCCCAACACACCCUCUC